AACACUGAAGGUAAGUACAUUAUUCGUUCUCUAAAUGUUAUUUAGACUUGUAUACAAAUAUAACAUAGUCUUUUUCUACACAAUAAACAUUACAGAAAAUGUAUGUUUAUAGCUUCGUUUUGAGAAAUCGCUUUGUACCGAUCCCCUAUGCAAACAAUACCGUUAUUAAUGAUGUCUUAAGUGGGCUGCUAGUGAGUUAACGUUAGCUCCUAGGUAAAAUUAGCAAGCUAAAUGGAAGCAAAGUAAUGAAACAGGCAGAUUUAAUAAGGCUUACAUAUUUUAUUAAGUACGGAUUCGACGGUCAGUCUUGCUUACUGUAAGAAUGUUUAGAGUAUCUCACCUAUGAGCUUAUGAGCCUUUCAUCUACUGCUGCUGGCGUGUUCCUUUUGUAAGCUAUCGUGCCGGUGUAUAUUCCAAGAGCGGCAUUGUCCUUUCUGUUAAGUUCAGAUCAGUCUUCCAUAGUGCAUCACUUUCGCAUGCGACUGAAAUAUCUGACAAUUCUGAGAUAGGGCUAGCUCAGGAUAAUGAUGUGGCAAACAGUAGUGCUGACAGUUCUCAGUUCCGUGAUCUCAUGGCUGAAGAGGCUUGUAGCAUUGAAACUUCUGAUGAUGAUGAUGAUGAUGACAGUGAUUCCCAGCCCGACUUGACAUCUGUGUUAUCAGACUGGGCCAUUAGGUUUGGUGUUUCAUUAGUUGCUCUUUCAGCACUUCUUUCUAUACUCAGAGUUUUCCACCCUUGCCUUCCAAAGGAUGGUCGGUCUUUGCUGAAAACUAAGACACAUUAUGUGGUGGAAAACUUAGCAGGUGGUUCUUUCUAUUAUUUUGGAAUUCUGAAUACACUCAGGACAACUUUUGAGAAAUUGUCAAGCAAAGUCCAAGAUAGACACUUGUUUAAAAUACAGCUGAAUAUUGAUGGUUUACCACUUUUUAAAAGUUCCUCUGUGCAGUUCUGGCCUGUCUUGGGUAUGUUACAAGACAUGAAAAGACCUGUAUUGAUUGCGCUGUUCUGUGGUAGAUCCAAGCCUACAUCCUUGCCAGAGUACCUCAGGGCUCUUAUAAAUGAGCUGAAAAAGUUGCCAGAUGGAGUUGUCAUAAGUGGAAAGACUGUUUUUGUUUAAGUGAGUUCAGUUAUAUGUGACGCUCCAGCUAGAGCUUACGUCAAAGCCAUUAAGGGUCACACUGGGUAUUCUGGAUGUGAUAAAUGUGUUCAGCCAGGUGUUUACAUUGAACAUCGUAUGACUUUCCCUGAUAUGCACGCUGUUCAUAGGACUGAUGAGUUUUUCAAGGGAUGUAGUGAUGAAGAUUACCAUCAUGGGCGCUCACCUUUUUCUGAAUUGAAUAUUGGCAUGGUCAGCUGUUUUCCCCAUGAUUAUAUGCAUUUGGUUUGUCUUGGUGUGGUACGCAAGCUUUUAGAUUUAUGGAUGGGUACUGCUGGGCCUCGACGUUGUCGGAUUUCUGCUGGUCAAUGCAGUGUCGUAUCUGACAAACUGACUAGUUUGAAAGCCUUUGUACCUACUGAGUUUGCCAGGAAACCAAGAGUGCUUACAGAGAGAGGUGGAAAGCAACUGAACUGAGACAAUUUCUGUUGUACACAGGUCCAGUUGUUCUAAGGGGUGUAUUAUCUGAGGAGGUUUACAAUAACUUCAUGCUGCUUUCCGUUGCCAUUCAUGUUUUAGCUAGUCCUUUGUUAUGUUUAGUGUGGAACGAUUUUGCUAAGACAUUACUGUACUCAUUUGUAGACCAUUUCAGUCAGUUGUAUGGUGCCCAGUUUGUAGUAUACAACAUACAUGGUCUAGUUCACCUCAGUGAUGAUGUCAAAGUUGAUGGUCACGUAGACCUCAUAUCGGGAUUUCCUUUUGAAAAUUAUUUACAGACAUUAAAGAAAAUGGUUAGGAAACCACACAGUCCUCUGACUCAAGUAAUUAGACGUGUCUCCGAAAUUGACAGGAUCAGUGCUGAGAGCAUUACUGAAAAACCCAGAAACGUAGCCAAAAGGCAGCACAGAGAUGGACCUGUGCCUCAGUCAAUGGACAGCACUGUCACACAGUUUAAACACGUAAUUAUUGAUGGUGUGACUAUCAGAACGUCAUAUGGUGAUAACUGCCUUAGAAUUGACAAUGAUGUUGCUUUAGUCCAAAACAUUCUUCUGCAUAAAGGGUUUUAUUAUGUGAUGUAUAAGCAGUACACAAAAACAGAGAGUUUUUUUUAGUUAUCCUGUGGACUCUUCUGAACUAGGCAUCCUGGUUGUUUCAGGUCUGUCACCACACUUUAAAUGUGCAAGGCUUGACAAGAAUAUAAGAAAAUAUGUUAGAAUUCCACUUGAGAUUAGGGACAGCUUUGUUGUUUUACCUCUACUACACCUUAACUUUGUUUAAUCCUCAAUUUUAGUAUAUAUUUGUUCAUUAGACCUCCCAUACUGUGUUGUUGGUAUUUGCUGGUAGAGUGAAAUGCUCUUGAUGGCUGUUCUGGUGGUGAUGUUGUUUGUUCCUGGUUGGGUUCUUUUCUCUGGGAGAUUAGGCUAUAGUUUUGCUUAGAGACCAUGCCUUGGUUGGUUAAGAGUAUUUGUAUAUUUUAAUGUGGUAAGUUAUAUGGUGGCAACAUGGGGUGCAAGCUAGAGUAAUCUAACUGGCUCAUUUGUUUUGUGUUUGUGACAAACUGUGCCUAGGUUGAUGUUGGUUGGUUAGGGUUUUUAUGGUUAUGGUUCAGGCCACAUCAACGGGACGGACCAACCUAACCAACCUAGACCAUGCCUAGUGCUGUCUGGUUGGGUUUUUGACUGUCUGUUGCCUAUUAUUUGUAAAAUAGUUUAUUGAAAAAAGUGAUUUUCAUAGAUUUAUCUCAUAUUGUUCCUAAAGCUUUAUUACUUUAAAUACUGUUAAUAGGCCUACAUUUACCGAUUAUCUAUAUGCAUGUUAAAUGUUCAGAUUUAACACAAAUGCAUUAGGCUAUAGGCUAUUCAGUGGAGUUCUUUACACUAACAUUUUUUUGUAUGUCUGUGUGAAGUUUGUCUCUGUCAGUGAUUUUGUCUAAAAAAUACACACAAAAAACAAAAAACAAAAAGAAAAAAAAUGUCUUAACAUUGUCUUCUGUCGUGUCUCGUCCUACUAACACCCCACUCGUAGCCUGUACCUUGACGUGGUGAGUGGGCUUACAACUAAACAGGUCUUGCUUUCAUCAAUGAUGUUAUAUGUGGUGUGGACUCUGCAGUGUAUCACAGCACCCCUAGACCAUUCAUUCUACUCACAAACUUUAUACCAUUUUCAUUUUUUAAUGUUGGUUAAGUUUAGAUAUUAGGAUGUACCAUAUCAUAAGUUUCGAAGAUACAGCGGAGGUAGAGGUGGUGCCAGCCUUGUGGGUGAAUGAUGGCGACGGAAGUUGCCCCUCGCAGAGCAGCAGACCGAUCUGCAGUCUGAGGCUGAGUGUGACCUUGGAAGGCCCAAAAAGAGGAAGAUCAAGCCAAAGACACAUACUGGAGUCUGAGAGUGAGGAUGACACUGUGGUGAAAAGAACUCUGCCAAAAGCCCCCACAUUAGAGCAGCCAUCGUUCAGGAGAUACGUGGUAUCCCAGGAUACCAGGGGGUGUAUUGAGAUCCCUAAAGAUAGUUCCUUGGAUAUCCCAGAAUAUCAGCAUGUGACCUUAGGGACUUCCCUUCGCCAGGCCAUUGAGGUGACAAAUGGUUCAGCUCAGUUAGGGGCCAGGAGCAGCUGGACCACUGGGC